AACAAGUCGGUCUAAGCAUUAAGAUUGAAACAGAUAUGCAAAAAUACAAUUUGAAUCUCAUUUCAAACUACCUAUGAAUGAGGCCUGAAAUAGAUUUGGAA